rnacentral:tRNA from 1 species
GGUGGCUCAGUGGUUGAGCAUCUGACUUUGGCUCAGGGCGUGAUCCCGGGGUCCUGGGAUCGAAUCCCUGUC